rnacentral:rRNA from 1 species
CCUACGGGAGGCAGCAGUGAGGAAUUUUCCGCAAUGGGCGAAAGCCUGACGGAGCAAUACCGCGUGAGGGAUGAAGGAUUUUGGUCUGUAAACCUCUUUUCUCAAGAAAGAAGUUCUGACGGUACUUGAGGAAUAAGCAUCGGCUAACUCCGUGCCAGCAGCCGCGGUAAUACGGGGGAUGCAAGCGUUAUCCGGAAUGAUUGGGCGUAAAGCGCCUGUAGGUUGUUUAUUAAGUCCGUUGUUAAAGCCUAGGGCUCAACCCUAGAAAGCAAUGGAAACUAGUAGACUAGAGUAUGGCAGGGGUAGAGGGAAUUUCUAGUGUAGCGGUGAAAUGCGUAGAUAUUAGAAAGAACACCGGUGGCGAAAGCGCUCUACUGGACCAUUACUGACACUCAGAGGCGAAAGCUAGGGUAGCAAAAGGGGAUUAGAUACCCCUGUAGUCCUAGCCGUAAACGAUGGAUACUAGAUGUUGUGUCAUUAUUAGUACUAGUAUACGUAGUACGUAACGUACGUUAACGUUACUCCGUCCGUCGGGUAGGUACGUCGUCGCGAGGGUAGGAACGUACGAAACGGAAAGUAGUACGGCGUGAGAACGUGCCGACGGACGACGACGAGGGAGGUUAGG